rnacentral:rRNA from 1 species
GAAGUCGCAGCGGAAGCAGCGGUGGACUGUACAGGAGUGAGAAUGCCGGAAUGAGUAGCGAGAAUUAUGUGGGAAUCAUAAUGGCCGAAAAUCUAAGGUUUCUUGGGGAAGGUUCGUCCGCCCAAGGUAAGCCGGGAGCUAAGGCGAGGCCGCGAGGCGUAGUCGAUGCACAUACGGUAGAAAUUCCGUAGCCACCGAACUUUAAACCAGAAGGACACUUUCAGAUAGCGGGACCCAGCCGUUGGUAGAGCUGGGCGCAAGGGACCGAAAUAUAGUAGGGAAGUCCGCGAUGCUGGGAGGCGAGAAAAGCUCUGGUGUACACUAAGGUGCCCGUACCGCAAACCGACACAGGUAGAUGAGGAGAGAAUCCUAAGGCCAACGGGAGAAGGGUUGUUAAGGAACUCGGCAAAUUGACCCCGUAACUUCGGAAGAAGGGGAGCCUCGAAAGAGGCCGCAGUGAAUAGGCCCAAGCAACUGUUUACCAAAAACACAGGUCUAUGCUAAAUCGAAAGAUGACGUAUAUGGGCUGACGCCUGCCCGGUGCCGGAAGGUUAAGAGGAGAGCUUAGCGCAAGCGAAGGUUUGAAUUGAAGCCCCGGUAAACGGCGGCCGUAACGAUAACGGUCCUAAGGUAGCGAAAUUCCUUGUCAGGUAAGUUCUGACCCGCACGAAUGGCGUAAUGAUUUGGGCACUGUCUCGACAGCCCGCCCGGCGAAAUUGUAGUACUGGUGAAGAUGCCAGUUACCCGCAACUAGACGGAAAGACCCCAUGGAGCUUUACUGCAGUUUAAUACUGGGAAUCGGUAAUUCAUGUACAGGAUAGGUGGGAGACUGAGAAGCAUGGCCGUCAGGUCGUGUGGAGUCACCGGUGGGAUACCACUCUUGGAUUGCUGGUUUCCUAACCUGCGGCCCUGAAUCGGGUCGGGGGACACUGUUAGACGGGCAGUUUGACUGGGGCGGUCGCCUCCAAAAGAGUAACGGAGGCGCUCAAAGGUUCGUUCAGCACGGACGGAAAUCGUGCAUUGAGUGUAAACGCAUAAACGAGCCUAACUGCGAGACCGACGGAUCGAGCAGUAACGAAAGUUGGAGUUAGUGAUCCGGUGGUAUGUGAGUGGAAAUGCCAUCGCUCAACGGAUAAAAGCUACCCUGGGAUAACAGGCUGAUCUCCCCCAAGCGUCCACAGCGACGGGGAGGUUUGGCACCUCGAUGUCGGCUCGUCGCAUCCUGGGGCUGUAUUCGGUCCCAAGGGUUUGGCUGUUCGCCAAUUAAAGCGGUACGCGAGCUGGGUUCAGAACGUCGUGAGACAGUUCGGUCCCUAUCUGUCGUGGGCGCAGGAUAUUUGAUGGGAGCUGUUCCUAGUACGAGAGGACCGGAGCGGACGUACCUCUGGCGCACCAGUUGUUCUGCCAAGGGCAUAGCUGGGCAACUAUGUACGGAUCGGAUAAACGCUGAAAGCAUCUAAGCGUGAAGCCGACCCAAAGAUAAGAUAUCCCAUUGUUUCAAACAAGUAAGACCCCUUGAAGACUACAAGGUUGAUAGGCACGAUGUGUAAGUGGAGUGAUCCAUUCAGCAAGCGUGUACUAAUAGGUCGAGGGCUUGACC